GAUGAACGCUGGCGGCGUGCCUAAUACAUGCAAGUCGAGCGAACGGACGAGAAGCUUGCUUCUCUGAUGUUAGCGGCGGACGGGUGAGUAACACGUGGAUAACCUACCUAUAAGACUGGGAUAACUUCGGGAAACCGGAGCUAAUACCGGAUAAUAUUUUGAACCGCAUGGUUCAAAAGUGAAAGACGGUCUUGCUGUCACUUAUAGAUGGAUCCGCGCUGCAUUAGCUAGUUGGUAAGGUAACGGCUUACCAAGGCAACGAUGCAUAGCCGACCUGGGGGGGUGUCCGGCCAACGGGGAAGGAGGGCCCGGUCCGGACUCCGAGGGGGGCAAGAGUCGGGGAACUUUCCGCAGGGGGGAAAACCCUACAGGGGGAGCCCGGCGGAGGUAGUGACGGUUUGUGGGUGGUAAACCUCUUUGUUUAGGAAAAAACUUUUGGUAAGGAAGCGGUGUUAUUUUGGCGGUACCUGAAGAAGAAGCCCCGGCUAAAUACGUG
rnacentral:rRNA from 1 species